GCGGCCGUAGUCUAGCGGUAGGACUAUAGCUUCCCAAGCUAUCUGCCCGGGUUCGAUCCCCGGCGGCCGCA
rnacentral:tRNA from 1 species